rnacentral:rRNA from 1 species
GCAAGUCGAGCGCUACCUUCGGGGUGAGCGGCGGACGGGUGAGUAACGCGUGGGAAUAUGCCCUUCUCUAAGGAAUAGCCUCUGGAAACGGAGAGUAAUACCUUAUACGCCCUUUGGGGGAAAGAUUUAUCGGAGAAGGAUUAGCCCGCGUUAGAUUAGGUAGUUGGUGGGGUAAUGGCCUACCAAGGCAACGAUGAGUAGCUGGUCUGAGAGGAUGAUC